AAUCUUUUUGCUUUGGCUCGAAAGAGCCGAAGAAAUAAAAAACACCUAUUUUAACCUGAGUCUGAAACUGAAAUUAAUAAAUCAAAACUUUCAACAACGGAUCUCUUGGUUCUCGCAUCGAUGAAGAACGCAGCGAAUUGCGAUAAGUAAUGUGAAUUGCAGAAUUUUGUGAAUCAUCGAAUCUUUGAACGCACAUUGCACCCCUUGGCAUUCCGAGGGGUAUACCUGUUUGAGCGUCAUUUCUCUCUUAAACAUUUUGUUUAGUGUUGAACUGCUUUAUAUAAACAGUUUGAAAAGAAAUGGCAAGGCGAAUUUCCUAGCAUCAGUGUCGUAGUUUACUAUGCUGUACGCAAAGAAGGAGCCGGGCGUUAUAACUUUUUUUUACAAGUUUGACCUCAAAUCAGGUAAGAUUACCCGCUGAACUUAAGCAUAUCAAUAAGCGGAGGAAAAGAAACCAACAGGGAUUGCCUCAGUAACGGCGAGCGAAGCGGCAAAAGCUCAAAUUUGAAAUCUGGCGCCUUUGGCGUCCGAGUUGUAAUUUGAAGAUGGCAACUUUGGGAUUGGCUCUCGCAUAUGUUCCUUGGAACAGGACGUCAUAGAGGGUGAGAACCCCGUUUAUGGUGAGAUGACCCAAUCCUAUGUAAAGUGCUUUCUAAGAGUCGAGUUGUUUGGGAAUGCAGCUCUAAGUGGGUGGUAAAUUCCAUCUAAG
rnacentral:rRNA from 1 species